AUAUUGGUCAAUGGAUGGAAGUCUGAACCAGCCAUGCCGCGUGAGUGAUGAAGGCCUUAGGGUUGUAAAGCUCUUUUACCCGGGAUGAUAAUGACAGUACCGGGAGAAUAAGCCCCGGCUAACUCCGUGCCAGCGGCCGCGGUAAUACGGAGGGGGCUAGCGUUGUUCGGAAUUACUGGGCGUAAAGCGCACGUAGGCGGCGAUUUAAGUCAGAGGUGAAAGCCCGGGGCUCAACCCCGGAAUAGCCUUUGAGACUGGAUUGCUUGAACAUCGGAGAGGUGAGUGGAAUUCCGAGUGUAGAGGUGAAAUUCGUAGAUAUUCGGAAGAACACCAGUGGCGAAGGCGGCUCACUGGACGAUUGUUGACGCUGAGGUGCGAAAGCGUGGGGAGCAAACGGG
rnacentral:rRNA from 1 species